CUUCUUACCGGGUGGAUCUCCUACAGAUGGAGGAUAAAUGCUGACAGGAGGCCACUUUCCUGAGCGGGCUGACCCGGGAACAGACGUUUGAUGCGGACCACGCUGCAGCGGUCUGCUCCCGAACACAGCUGUGAGAUGUAGAAGCUGAAGCCGAGACCAGACAGGCUUUUCUUCAGGACAACUUCAUGAGUGUUAUCUAGGAAAGCCAAGACAUCAAAAGAAGAGAGGAUCUGCAGGGAUGAGGAGUUGUCUUUUUAACAAAGUCCAGCCAGGAAAAAGGCAGCUUCAAGGUUUCAGCGCAUGCAGUCUGGAGGGACUAAGGCAGCAUCAGUCCUGGAUUACUCUGACAGCUAGCACAAUGUAGCUGUCAGAUGACUCACAGUCACCUCUGGGCUGUGUGUGUGUCAGUGUGUAUAUGGCUGUUUUUAUUUAUUUUUUUCUGGGGGACUGCAUGUGUCCCUUCCUCCCCCCUUCUCACCAUCAGUGACAAAGCUGUAGUCCCUGGCUCGACUAC